rnacentral:rRNA from 1 species
AGCGGCCCAUUUGUGAGUAACACGUGGGUAACCUGCCUGUAAGACUGGGAUCACUCCGGGAAACCGGGGCUAAUACCGGAUGGUUGUCUGAACCGCAUGGUUCAGACAUAAAAGGUGGCUUCGGCUACCACUUACAGAUGGACCCGCGGCGCAUUAGCUAGUUGGUGAGGUAACGGCUCACCAAGGCAACGAUGCGUAGCCGACCUGAGAGGGUGAUCGGCCACACUGGGACUGAGACACGGCCCAGACUCCUACGGGAGGCAGCAGUAGGGAAUCUUCCGCAAUGGACGAAAGUCUGACGGAGCAACGCCGCGUGAGUGAUGAAGGUUUUCGGAUCGUAAAGCUCUGUUGUUAGGGAAGAACAAGUGCCGUUCAAAUAGGGCGGCACCUUGACGGUACCUAACCAGAAAGCCACGGCUAACUACGUGCCAGCAGCCGCGGUAAUACGUAGGUGGCAAGCGUUGUCCGGAAUUAUUGGGCGUAAAGGGCUCGCAGGCGGUUUCUUAAGUCUGAUGUGAAAGCCCCCGGCUCAACCGGGGAGGGUCAUUGGAAACUGGGGAACUUGAGUGCAGAAGAGGAGAGUGGAAUUCCACGUGUAGCGGUGAAAUGCGUAGAGAUGUGGAGGAACACCAGUGGCGAAGGCGACUCUCUGGUCUGUAACUGACGCUGAGGAGCGAAAGCGUGGGGAGCGAACAGGAUUAGAUACCCUGGUAGUCCACGCCGUAAACG